CCUACGGGAGGCAGCAGUGAGGAAUAUUGGUCAAUGGGCGGGAGCCUGAACCAGCCAAGUCGCGUGAGGGAAGACGGUCCUAUGGAUUGUAAACCUCUUUAGGCGGGGAGCAAUGCCGGGCACGUGUGCCCGGAGGGAGAGUACCCGCAGAAUAAGCAUCGGCUAACUCCGUGCCAGCAGCCGCGGUCAUACGGAGGAUGCUGGCGUUAUCCGGAUUUCUUGGGUUAAAAGGGUGCGUAGGCGAAUUUUUGAGUCAGCGGAAAAAUGUCCGGGCUAAACCCGGUCCGGCCGUUGAACCGGGGGAUCUUGAGUGGGCGAGAAGUAGGCGGAAUGCGUGGUGAAGCGGUGAAAGGCAUAGAUAUCACGCAGAA
rnacentral:rRNA from 1 species